CGAAAUGGGUCAGAAUAACAGCCGUUUAUCCUUACAUCCUCUGUAUCGCGGAAAAUAAAAUCUUCAAUAUAACUUGUUGUAAGUUCCAGGACUACAAAUACCAAUUGCGCUUUUAAUGGCUUUCAGUAUAUAAUUUAGCCAAUAUAAAUACUU